CCGAGGAGGACGAGGAGGGACGUCGACGUCGAUGGGAAGAGAGCGUCGUUUUAACGUUCGAGCACGUGGGUAAGAUGAGGGGACAGCGGCGCAGAAGAGGAACCGAAGAGAAACGAAGAAGAAGGAAGAGGAGAGGACGUCGAUCGCGAUGAACGAAGAAGCGUCGUCUCGAGGAGAUCGGGUGAACGUAGAAAGAGGUGGGGAGGUGCGUCAAAGGAAGAAUCGAAUAGAAAAAGGGAUGAAACGUAUGGAGCGUGAACAAUAAUCCCGUAAAGAGUCGAGGCUCGAGGCUGGCCCCUGGUAAAUGGAACACGUGUAAGGUGUCACAUCUAUCUGAAAAGUUCAUCGUUACGAAGAUACACGGAUGAAAAGAGUUUCCUAGAAUGUGAGCUAUCUUUGGAACCACCAUGGUGGUGGCGAGUGUGUAAUCGAAGGAAUUGUAGAACACUUUUCUCAUGCAAAUACGCUCCCGAAUACGCAGACCCGUAGAAGGGACAACGAACUUCUUUCGCUCUGCUUAAAACUUCGAACUUGGGUCCUUUUAAAUUUAAAUGCUCUCCCCUGGCACGGUCGAGCGAGCAGCCGUCGCGCGUUCUUCUUCUUCUUUCCUCGCGUCGAUGUCACGAAGAUGGUAAA